CCUGCUGGGGGGAAGAAGAGGAGGCGUUAAGCAAAUACAACUCACCCGGAGUGAGAGAGAAGAAGAUGAAAUGCCAAGACCUGCUGAUCUAGACCCACCUAACUGCUAAACUGUAGCUCAGGGACAUGGAUCGUGGUGUUGGAAGCUAAGACUGGUCUGCGGAAACGCCUUUACAGAAAGCUUACUGGAGAGUUAAGAGGAGCAUACUCCAUGUAAAAGCAUACAGAAAAUGCAGUGGAUUAGAAGAGCCUCGUGUAUAGAAGUUACUAACCCUGUGAUGGAUCAUAUUCAUAAAGGAUUUCAGGAAUCAACAUAUUCCUCACUCGAGAACCUUUCCAUCCUUACUACCACAAGCCAAACAAGCUCUUGCUCAAGCUUCAGGCUGCAGAGGGUCAGGGAUAAAGACAGCUGCCGACACGACUUUGAGUGUACCUCCUUCUUAGGGCAGUCCUCGGGCGGCACAGAGCUGGCUCCAUGAGAACUGUGCUUGCCUUCAGCUGUGCAGGAGAGAAACGGGAGGGAGGUAUCGACCUUCCAUCGCUGACCAGCAGUUGCAGGGCUACCCUGGAUUCACUCAAGGUAUUGCAUCAGAGCAUCUUUGUCUGUUCCACACCAAAAGGAACAUAAAAUGAGUUUUUCAUCAGACUUUGCCUUACUUUCAG
rnacentral:lncRNA from 1 species